UGGUGGCACGUACCCUUAAUCUUGGGAGG
rnacentral:piRNA from 1 species